UCCCCACUCGUCAUAGAGUAUGUGGCGGAACACAUAAAAACAUCAACAACCCCAAAUGAGAUGCGAUUGACUUGUGAUUGGCAUUCCCAGGACUGCGUCCGUCAGUGGAUUUUGUGGUACAAAUGAAACCCCAAAUAUUGAAGCUUUGUCUUUUGAGUGGUCCCCAGAUCCUCGACAACCGGAAGUGAAACAUUCAGUUACGCUCACCUUCCAGAGAUAUUCCCAUUUGAAAAAACCCUCAUUUCUCGAACUGUACUAUGCGGUGACCACUAUUCAUGGGAGGAUACAAACCAAUGAGGUUGAUCUUCACGACCCAUUUGACCCCGAACACAUUUACAAUCUGACGGCUUCCGACGUGGGAGCUAUUUUAAGCGCCCCUGAAAAGUUAUCCUUUGUCUGCAAGUCCAUCCAAUUGAUCAAGUUCAAUGAUGGGAGAAACAGUUUCGCCAUGUCCGAGGUCCAUGUGGAAGCAUUUCAUGACAAGAUUGCUCUCGGAGAUGGCAAAGAUUUUGGACCGAAAUGAUUUUGUGCAAAGGAUGGUGUAGAAGUUCUUUUGAUGGUAUUCACCUACGUAAUAAUUUUAGCAUUAUUCGGCUUAGCCGUCUACUACGUUGUGGAUAAGAGAUCAAAACGGUCAUACGUCUAUUUGUAGGAAUUUCACAUUUAUUUUUUUAUACGAUUGUGACGAUUAUACUAAUACGCGUAAUUAAUUAUUAUACUAUUUAUUACACAUGAAUCGUUUUAAUUUGCAAAGGAAUAAGUCUUAUAUCUGUUUGAUGACUGUGCUUCAAAAUGAGAGAAAUAAUAAAUAAUGGUCUCAAUAAAACAAACAAUUUUGUGGGCAGAUGCCCAAUUUUUUGAAGAUUUUUUUAUUUAAUUCAAGCCAAGGUCAAAUAAUUUAGAUACAUGUGAUUUCAAAUUGCAUAGGUUUAAUAACAAAAA